CUCUUCCGGCGUCGGCGGCGGCGGCGAAAGGAGCGAGAUGCCCGGGGUGACCGUGAAGGACGUGAACCAGCAGGAGUUCGUGCGGGCGCUCGCCGCCUUCCUCAAGAAGUCUGGGAAGCUGAAGGUUCCGGACUGGGCGGACACGGUCAAAC